rnacentral:rRNA from 1 species
CACGUAGGGACCAAGCGUUGUCCGGAUUUAUUGGGCGUAAAGAGCUCGUAGGCGGUCUGUCGCGUCGGCUGUGAAAACCCGGAGCUCAACUCCGGGCCUGCAGUCGAUACGGGCAGACUGGAGUUCGGCAGGGGAGACUGGAAUUCCUGGUGUAGCGGUGAAAUUCGUAGAUAUUGGGAAGAACACCAGUGGCGAAGGCGGCUCACUGGCCCGUAACUGACGCUGAGGUGCGAAAGCGUGGGGAGCAAACAGG